ensembl:lncRNA
GCCCCAGAGCCAAAGGCAGAAGAGGAAACUCCUCAGAUGGCGAACAAAAUGACAUUUUUCAGAGCUCAGUAUAGAUAUAAUCAGUGUAUUUCUAACAACAACUGCUUUCACUUCGCAAACUACCUACAUUGUCCCUCAAAUAACUAGUUUUGACCCCGGGAUGUGGACAAUUUAUUUGGAUGGCGGAAGCCCCAACAGCUCAUCAAUGUGGGUUUGGGAGAGUCAAGUAGAAGCGGGUGCAGACUCUGCCUCCCUGGAAGGUCUGGCUUAACCGCUUUGUUGCCAUUCAUGUUCCCUAUUUCCAAUUCCAUAGUUUUGGCCUUUAGUAGAGGCUGGGGCUGCAGUUUACCCCUUGCAGGCUUCAUGUGACAGUCAUGAUGUAGGAUCUGUGACAAGGCCUGACAGAGCUGGGGGCCCUUCUAAGUCCAUGGCACUAAGAAGGGUCCUUCCAUUAUUUUUUCCCUGAAGGCAGGUAAGAAGCAUGGUACAGUGACAUGGUUUACAAUGCCCACGAAUGUCUAAGUUCCUGAGCAGUCUACUACACAGCCUGACACCUGGACAUUCAGUUUCUAGUGACAAGGCUCCUGGCUACUCAGGUGAGGCGUUGCUGACAGAUUCUCCUUGAAACAGCCAGAGAAGAGCAGUGAGGAGCCAUGGAAUCUUUCUGCUUGAGCAGGAGACUUGCAGCCAUGUCUGGAAUCUCUAUUUUUAAGACGUAUCUUGAACUCUGGGCACAUUUUCCCUCUCGAUCUUGACAAUGUAGAAUGUGUACACACCUGGGUCUUCUGUGACCUGUGAUGCAGGACUUCGUGUCCAAGGACUGGUGCAGCGAGAGACCCUUCAGGAGACCCAGUGAAAGGCUGCAGCUAUCUUGAAGUAAUCAGAAGGGCAAUAAAUGCAGGCCCCCAGACAGGAACCUGGGUUCUUCCUGCUGCUGCUACUGCUGCUAAGUCGCUUCAGUCAUGUCUGACUCUGUGCAACCCCAUAGACGGCAGCCCACCAGGCUCCCCCGUCCCUGGGAUUCUCCAGGCAAGAACACUGGAGUGGGUUGCCAUGUCCUUCUCCAAUGCAUGAAAGUGAAAAGUGAAAGUGAAGUCACUCAGUCGUGUCCAACUCCUAGCAACCCCAUGGACUGAAGCCCACCAGGCUCCUCCACCCAUGGGAUUUUCCAGGCAAGCGUACUGGAGUGGGUUGCCAUUACCUUCUCCCUUUUAUACCCUUAAAAGCCUAAGCUCUACGCUUUUUGAAGUUUUAGGGAGAGUGAGCCUAUAACUUCAAGAUACCUUAAAUAGCAAAAUUUGAACCAUGUCUUCCAAGUGCCAUUCUUCAUAAAUCUAUUUAGAACCAAGCUUAAAAAUCACCACUAGCAAAUCAUUUUCAUAGCCUAUAUGGCAACUGAACUUUCUUCUAUUUUUCAGCACUGCUUUAUUAUAAGACAUAGGUUGCAAAAAAUAAGCUAUUUGUAUUGUAAGCUGAGAAGAAUGAGAAUCAGAGUAGAUCUGCAGCAAUCUCUUCUGAGGAUGGCAAGAAAAAUAGACAUUUCAACUGUGCCUUUAGAUUCACAAUCAGGUUGAUGGAAACAAAGAGCCCCAGGUCAUUCACCUUAAAACCUAAACAAACAUCGGCCAACCAGAGGUGUAGAAUUUAAAGACUCGAAAGACAGUUUUCUAUAACAGGUUAACCUGGGGUAUCCUCUAAUGCACAUUAAUGAAGUCUCCUUUAUGUACAGUUGGGAAGGUCCCCUGGAGGAGGAAAUGGAAACCCACUCCAGUAUUUUUGCCUAGAGAAUCCCAUGGACAGAGGAGCCUGGCAGGCUACAUAGAGUCCAUGGGGUCGCAAAAAGUCAGUCAUGACUGAGCGACUAAUACUUUACUAAUACUAUAGAGGGAAGUGAAAGUCACUCAGUCAUGUCUGACUCUUUGCAACCCCAUGGACUGUAUAAGUCCAUUGAAUUCUUUAGGCCAGAAUACUGGAGUGGGUAGCCUUUCCCUUCUCCAGGGCAUCUUCCAAACCCGGAGAUCCAACCCAGGUCUCCCACAUUGCAGGUGGACUCUACCAGCUGAGCCACAAGGGAAGCCCUAUAUGUAGAGAAUGUCAUGUGAAAUACUAGGCUGGAUGACUCACAAGCAGGAAUCAAGGUUGCCGGGAAAAAUAACUUCAGAUAUGCAGAUACCACUCUAAUGGGAGAAAGCAAGGAGGAAAGCAAAGAGCCUCUUGAUGAAGGUGAAAGAGGAGUGAAAAAUCUGGCUUAAAACUCAAUAUUCAAAAAACUAGGAUCAUGAUAUCUGGUCCCAUUAUUUCAUGGCAAAUAUAAAGCGAAAAAGUGGAAGCAGUGUCAGAUUUUAUUUUCUUGGGCUCCAAAAUAGUGCAGACAGUGACUGCAGUGGUGAAAUUAAGAUGCUUGCUCCUUGGAAGGAAAGCUACGACAAACCUAGACAGUGCAUUAAAAAGCAAAGACACCACUUUGCUGACAAAGUUCUGUUUAGUCAAAGCUAUGGUUUUUCUAGUAGUCGUGUAUGGAUGUUAGUUGGACCAUAAAGGCUGAGCAACAAAGAAUUGAUGGUUUCGAACUGUGGUGCUGGAGAAGACUCUUGAGUCCCUUGGACUGCAAAGGGAUCAAACAAGUCGAUCCUAUAGGAAAUCAACCCUGAAUAUUCAUUGGAAGGAUUGAUGCUGAAGCUCCAAUACUUUGGCUACGUGAUGAGACGAGCCAACUGACUGAAGAGUCCCUGAUGCUGGGUAAGACUGAGGGCAGGAGAAGGGGCAGCAAAGAAUGAGACGGCUAGAUGGCAUCACCGACUCGAUGGACGUGAACUUGAGGAAACUCUAGGAGAUGGUGGAGUGGAGGACAGAGGAGCCUGAAGUGCUCUAGUUCGUGGGGCUGGCUACAAAGUCAGACAUCACUUAGUGACUGAACAGAUUCGACACCCCAACUCUUAACAUGACCACAGUGGACAAACAUUUGAUUUGUCCAGAGACGUUGUUGCAAGCAUCCUUCCUCUGCAGCUGUUUCUGUUUGUGAUGUAGUCUUGCUCUCUGGGAAGCUGGCUCCUCCCUCACUCCUGAGGAUCUCAGUUUAAGAAAACAUUCUAUGGACUUGUGCUGAUGGCCUGAAGUUACAUGAGCCCCAGUUUGUAGAAGACUGACGGAAGGCAUCUUGUUCUUAUUUAUGUGCAGAGAUUUUCCUCCGGACUUCAGUUGUGCUCCUUCUCAGAGUUCUAUUCUGCUUGUCUCUGAUGUGUCUGCUAAGCACUGAGAUCCCAGGAAAUAAGGCAGCCUGGAGACCAGGCCUGGCUGCCCUCUCUGGACCAUUCAGGGAGCUACAACUGGCCAGGGUCACUAUUGGAGAAAGAAGUGUCUGCUGCCAGCCAGGACCUCCAUCGUCAUGGAAACCCGAGCUCCAUCCUCAGCCAUCCUAGUUGUCACAGCUUUAAGUUAAAAUUCACCCCCAUCAUUCAGACAUCCAAUGAGUGACUCACCCACAUCCCUUCUGGAAAACGAGACCUUGUUAAGCCCUCCGUGAUUCCCACCCUCACAUCCCAUUCCUUUUAUUACAUGGUGAGAUAGGACCUAGGUGAGAACAAGUCAUUCCAUCAGUCUUGCAGAGAAACCAGGACUCCCAUGAAUAAAACAUUCUAGUCAACGUUAAUAGUUUUUGAAAAUAAGUGAGUGAGUGAAGUCACUCAGUCGUGUCCAACUCUUUGUGACCCCAUGGACUGUAGCCUACAAGGCUCCUCUGUCUAUGGAAUUUUCCAGGCAAGAGUACUGGAGUGGGUUGCCAUUUCCUUCUCCAGGGGCUCUUCCCGACCCAGGGAUCAAACCCGGGUCUCCUGCAUUGCAGGCAGAUGCUUUACCAUCUGAAGCCAGGAGCAAAAGCUCACAGGCUUCUCCAUGGAAAGAUUCUAUAACUCAAAAGUCUGCGAAGCUAAGAGGAAAUGUAAUCAUUUAAGGCAUCAUUAAUGCAUCACCUGCACUUAUUCCAAAACAGGUGUGCCCUGGGCUAAGUCGAUGCAUGCAGGAGCUGAGGGCUUUAGGUAAUGAGACAUGGCUCAUGCAAGCUGCAGUGUCAAAGUCCAUAGAGCCAGUAGGACAGUUUUUUCCCACAGUGACAAGGACCUGGGUGACCCUCUGGUUACAAUGCUGUAACAGAGGUGCCGAACAUCCAGCACAGCAAGGAAAACCUCAGCCAUGUCUGAUUCACACUCCAGCUUGUGUCCUGGAUGUCACAAAGCCCCCUCCCCAACACGCCCACCCUCCAGUGAUGGGGUUUGCUAUCCCAGAAAAGAGACUAAGGUGAGAGCAGUUCCCUUACCUUCUGGGCACCAGCACCUCCAAUCCUCCUACUCAAAGACUCCCUUCCUGACACAAACACCAUGAUAAGUCUGCAUCAAACCUGGUUUCUAAUGAUUCACCAGAGGCUAAAUGUUAAGAAAAAUUCUGAACCAGCCCUCUAGACCACCAUUUUCCAUAACUCCGGUUUCCUCGUUUGAAGGAAGUGGUUGGAUCAGCCUCCAGAACAUCAGACAUCACUCUGGAGAGCAAGCAUUCCUUCACUGCGGGCACAAGGUGGUCCCCCUGUGGUGCCCAGCUUGUCGAGUCCAUGAAGUCAGAAAGGUCAGGCUCCGUGUGGAUGUGCAGUGACCUCUUCCCUCCCACUCGACUUGUCCUCGGGCGUCCUCGAACAAUCGAGGAAGAUCGGAGGCAGCCAGUGCAGAUCACAGAGCAGAGACAAGGUCUGAGGGUUUUACAGAGAAGUUUACAUACGUUUAGAAGCCAGUUCAUUUUUUUAUUUUACAUGAGAACCAGGAAGAGUGUGGUCUACACAACCUGACUAGGAUGAAAAGUCACUUCAACGCUCCUGAAGUUGACCGGGAAGGAUGACAGAACAGGCUUCUAGAAAAGGAAGCAAGCCUGCUAAGAUCAGAGACUGCACCAUUUCUAGACCUGGUACUUUCUGCCUUCAGGCCUGACCCACACGUGCACAUACGCCCUCGGCACUGUGCCCUAUUCUCAGGGCCUGACCCACACGUGCACACACGCCCUCGGCACUGUGCCCUAUUCUCAGGGCCUGACCCACACGUGCACAUCCGCCCUCGGCACUGUGCCCUAUUCUCAGGGCCUGACCCACACG